CGCACUGACGAACUUGUAACCUAACUUUUGGGGUUACUAAAAGGUUACUUGCAAAUGCAACCGAAACAGAUAAAUACAAACUUUUAAGACUUCCUUUGGGGUUUAUCUGCUUAAUUUUUCAUCUCAAAUGAAAUAUGGAUCUAAAUGACCUCUAAAAUUCGUUAAAUUUCGUUGUUCUCUACUAGCAACGCGCUCUUUCAGUUCGUGAAUGAACCGUUUUCACCCUGCCGACACGCCGUCUCAGGUCAAACCGCUGUUUCGCUUCAAGACGGAGAUAAAAACGAUGAUGUGAAGAGGUCACGCUCGAGAUGAAUUCACCUCAUCUUCCUCACUGAAAGCACGGUUUGAUUGUAGCCGAUGUCAGAGCCGUGUGUGAGGGGAAAUGAAGAUUUGUGAGUGCAUCUGCUGUCCUAGUCCAGAUGAACGGAGCCGAGUUUGAGAGUCCCACAAAACUGAAUAUGUGACGGGGUCAGUCGUCCAUUGAAGUCAGAGUCUAUUUAAACGGACAGUGAGGAAGAUUCAGAAGACGAGGCGUCUGACUGACAGGGGGCGGAGGGAACUCGCAGCAGCGCCGCGUUCUCGCACAUCCAGUGCGUGGGAGAGAGUGGCGGGCCUCGUCAGCUAGUGGUGCUAGCAGAAACAACGACGACAACGGAGAGACUGAACCACACAGAUGGCCGAGCCUUCAACACAGCGCUGCCAUCCGUAUCACAUAAACAUCAUCCACACUCCUACCAGAGAAUAUCAUGAUGGAAAAAACUAUUAAGCACGCCACUUUCACAGCAGAGUCAUUUACACAUUUCAGAAUUUGCGAUGACUCAUUUUCACAAAGGAUUCCUAGGGCUCCAGACAAAAAUGAAACAUUUAGGAGUCAAAUGACUUUUUUAGUUGACAAAUUAGAGCAUCCUCAACUGCUCAGAAGUACUAUAGUUCACCAAGUACAUAGCUUAUUACUUUAGCUUUUAAUAAGUACCAGUAGUCAAACAAACAACUCCGUAAAUAGACUAAUAUAUGUACAUCACGAUCCUUAAAAAAAGUCACAGUAGCCUAAUAGUUGUCGGUUCAUUUUGAAUCAUAAAUAACUGAUCAAGGACUCGGGGUUCACUAAGAAAACUCAUUACUCAUUUUGUUUUGUUUUAUGUAUACUGUAUGUUUGUUGUCUAUAUUGUGUCAUGUUGGUAAUACUAAAUGUUGAAUUAUUUCAAGACCUGUAAAGAAAUGCAAUUUCACUCUCCUAUACUGAAAAAAAAAAAAGUUGUAGAAACUGUUUUCACUCAGACAUCUGUAAAUUUCAAGCAAAAACAGCAAGUAACAUUAAAAUAAACAUGGAAUUUA